rnacentral:rRNA from 1 species
AAAAACAUGUCUUUAGGUUUUUAUCUUAAGUCUAAUCUGCUCACUGAUUAAAUUUAAAGAGCCGCAGUAUUUUGACUGUGCAAAGGUAGCAUAAUCAUUAGUUUUUUAAUUGGGAACUAGAAUGAAUGAUUGGACGAUAAAUUAACUUUUUUAAUUUUAAAUAUUGAAUUUAAAAUUCAAAUAAAAAUAUUUGGAUAAAAUUAAAAGACGAGAAGACCCUUUAGAUUUUUAUUAUUAAAUAAUUAAUUAUUAAAUUGAUUUUUUAAAUAAUUUUAUUGGGGUGAUAAUGUAAUAUAAAUAACUUAAUAAUUUUUAACCAUUUAUUAGUGAAUUUUUUGAUCCAAAAAUUUUGAUUAAAAGAUUAAAUUACCUAAGGGAUAACAGCGUUAUAUUAUNUAAGAGUUCAUAUCUAUAAUAAUGAUUGCGACCUCGAUGUUGAAUUAAGAAAUAUACUGGAGCAGAAAUUAGUAUUAAUUAGUCUGUUCGACUAUUAAAUGCUUACGUGAUCUGAG